rnacentral:rRNA from 1 species
AGGACGAACGCUGGCGGCGUGCUUAACACAUACAAGUCGAACGGUGAACCGGGCUUCGGCCCGGGGAUCAGUGGCGAACGGGUGCGUAACACGUGGGCAACCUGCCCCAGACACUGGGAUAACUCCGGGAAACCGGGGCUAAUACCGGAUACUCCGGUCGAACCUCAUGGUUCGAUCGGGAAAGCUCCGACGGUCUGGGAUGGGCCCGCGGCCUAUCAGCUUGUUGGCGAGGUAACGGCUCACCAAGGCGACGACGGGUAGCUGGUCUGAGAGGACGACCAGCCACACUGGAACUGAGAUACGGUCCAGACUCCUACGGGAGGCAGCAGUGGGGAAUCUUGCACAAUGGGCGAAAGCCUGAUGCAGCGACGCCGCAUGGGGGACGAAUGCCUUCGGGUUGUAAACCCCUUUCGGCAGGGAAGAAGCGCAAGUGACGGUACCUGCAGAAGAAGUCCCGGCUAACGUACGUGCCAGCAGCCGC